rnacentral:lncRNA from 1 species
CACAUUUCAGCAAAUCUACCUUAGAACCUUAUAGCUAUUUGAAUCAGAUAUUAACAUUGUAACAACAUCUACUGAAUUUGUUUGGAAUUCCUAAAACAAACAUCUGAAAGAUAUGAGAACCACAGAUUAAUUAGCUGCGGCCUUGUAAUCUCUUAACAGCUUGAACCAAUAUAACAAAAAAGCCUAACAAAGGGAGUUUCCAUCACAACCAAAACAACCUUAUAGUAAUCCACCUCAGAAUAUUAUAGAAAUGUUUAAAUCCAAAGGAAAUCGUAAUGACAAAAUUGAAAUCUAAACACAAAUUAUUACAAAUUCUUCAUAAUGACAUAAAGAAAUGCCUUAAACAAAUGAAGAAGGAGACUGAUAGAAAGAAAACACGAUGAACUAAAAAAGCACUAAUUUAUAUUUCAACCAUCCAGAACCAACAACAUUUCAUCUUUGCAUCUCAUGGUCGAGGGCAAUACCUGGAAAUUAGGAAGGAAGCAAAAGAAAUGAAGAAUCUGCAGACAACAACAACAGAAAUCAGCUUGAAAACCAGCAAUGGAAUAGUAUUUUAACGACAGCUCAAAACCAGACUUUAAAACCCAAAAUUCAAGCCAUUUUAAACCAGGUGCAGGAUCUUUGAAACUUUCAGAAAUUCCAGCUAACCAAGAACACCAAAACCAAGUAGAAUUUUUAGUAACAUUCCAAAGUUGCAAGGAUUUCAAUGUUUAUUUUUUUUUUCAAAGCUUUUUAGGUCUAGUUGUUUUUACUUUUUUUCAGAAUUUUAG